UCAAUGUUUAAUCAGGCUGACCAUGAAACAUCACUAUCAGGGACAACUGGUUUAAGGAGGCUAAGUAUUCAUAGCAAUGUCAAUUUUUGAUCUUUCACUGUCAGCUCUUAAAAGCUCCUAUCAUAGUGAAGCACUAAUGAGGAACAUGAGCUGGCUUUACAUCAUCACGAGACAGGUUAGUUUUACACUACUGAUGAUGUGUUGCUGCAAUAGUAAUAUUGGUCAGUACAAGAGGAAGCAAAGGUUUCAAACAUUUGCCUCUGUUCUUGGCUGAGAUGGUGUAAAGCUAACAUCUGUGGGAUCAUGACUGAAUGCCUGUAAUUCUGAAUUUCACUUUAAGGGUUCACCUUUGCC
rnacentral:ncRNA from 1 species